CCCUUAGAUGUCCUGGGCUGCACGCGCGCUACACUGAAGCGUUCAACGAGUAUUUCACCUUGCCCGGGAGGGUUGGGUAAUCUUUUUAAAACGCUUCGUGAUGGGGAUAGAUUAUUGCAAUUAUUAAUCUUCAACGAGGAAUUCCUAGUAAGCGCGAGUCAUCAGCUCGUGCUGAUUACGUCCCUGCCCUUUGUACACACCGCCCGUCGCUCCUACCGAUUGAAUGGUCCGGUGAAAUUCUCGGACGCGGACUUGCAAUGUUAAUUCGGCGCUUGUCUGUGAAAGUUAAUUAAACCUUACCAUUUAGAGGAAGGUGAAGUCGUAACA
rnacentral:rRNA from 1 species